AGGAAAACCAUAUAUAUGUGAGAGAAGGAUUCUCCCUGUUAUGUUUUCUAUUAAAUUUACCACUUCAAUCUCAGAAUAUUAUAAUAAUAAUAUAUUAAAAAUAAAUAAAUAGACCGCAUACAUGUCACAUGUCACAUUGGGGUUUAAUGAUAAACUUUUUCUAUUAAUUAUUAAAUUAAUAUAACAGUGUUUUGAUAUGCUUUGAAUUUAAAAAUAUUAAAUAUAUCAGCUAAAAAUCAUUCAAUCAACUGAGAAGAUCAUAAUCAUGUUACGUAUUGUGCAUAUAUGUCACAUUAGUUUUAGGAUAAAUACCCGAUGUGACGGUACAUUAUUUAUCAGAUUUGUUUUAUAUUAGUCUGUUCAAGAAAUGUGUUCAGGUUUAAUAUAAUAACUGCGCGCGCACCAGGGGCGUGUCUAGGGGGUGGCCAGGGGUGGCACGUGCUACCCCUGGAAUCUGAUUGGCCACCCCAAGUGCCACCCCAUAUGCUAAACUAUGAUUGGCUAUCUGCCCAUGGAGGCGGGAACGUUUGAAUUGUGUGACUACCGAACUUUCAUUUUCAACCGACAAGAAGACAUCAAGAAGACAUCAAGAGAUUGCGGCUACUCGCUCCUGAAAGAUGUGAGUAGCUAGAAUUAUUGAUAACAGUUACACAUAAUGAGUCAGUGGUUUAAAAAGUUUGAACUGUAAUAAGCUAAAACGUUUUUUGAUUUUCACGAUAUGUGGUGCAGGUCUGUCAUCAUCGCGACUGUCAACAGUGUCGACUGACUCAGCUUGCUGCCUAGCAAACCUGUCCAGGGAUUCUUAGCUCCUGAAAGAUGUGAGUAGACUUAUUGAUACACAUGUGUGAAUGGUUUAAAAGCUAAAACGUUUUCCCAUCUUAUUUUAUUAUUUCCUGACUCAGCUUACUAGCAAACCUGUCGUCAUCAUUGUUUGGUUAUUGUCAACGAUGCUAACGCUAACGCUAAUGCUAAUGCUAACGCUAGCUAACUUAACGUUACAGUAUGUAAAUCUGUCUUGUAUCUCUUCUAACUUUGUAACAUUAGACCUGAGUAAGUUUUGCAUGUCACAUUCAUUCAUGCAUUCAUAAUUAGGCUAAAUGUAUUGUGCAAGAUAUAGUGACAUGCAUCAUGACAUGCGACUAUUACAGUAUGAAAAGAAAUCAGAACAUUCAGGGAUUCUUCAAAAGAAAGAAAUCCAAAACAACAGAGCAGGACAGAGCAGCAGAAGCCAGCAGUGCUAGUCAGUCUGAGGAUGAGAGCCAGCUUGACUCUGCUAGGGAUGUACAGCAGGAGCCUCCAGCUUCAGCUGUACACAUGGACUCAGACAAGGAUACUGGUGAUGAAGGCCCUUCAUCUUCACUUGCACAUCAGGGUGUGUCAAGUCAGCCACUCUCUGACAAUGACACUGACACUGAGAACCAUCCAGCAGUACCUGCAGGCCAUGCAGUGACACGUGGGGAUGGUGAUGCAGCAGCCCUUGUGGCCCCACCUGGACCUCAUGAUAUUUCACAGUCAAGAGCAGCAGGUCCCUCUCAGCCUCGUUUAAAGGUUUUUCCAAGAACCCUCCAAGGUGAGAAGAGGAGG